GGGACACUCUGGGUCUCGGAGGAGCGUGAUCCAGGUUGGAACGCAACCCAGACUGUCAACGAAACACGUUCCUGCGAGCUAAAGAAUCCCUUCCGAGCCCUCAUUGCGACCACCAAACCAGCCAAUCCCUCGUGGGUUCCCUCAGCCAACACUUGUGUGUGUGAAAAGAUCAAAUGCCCCCAUUGCAUCCAGAGCACAGACGUCCCUCAAAUCCUAGGCUCUCCAUUCUUCCCCGAGCAUCCUGGAUCCCUGGGCUUGGAGCUGCCUGUGAGGCUUCCAGCCCUCUGCUUGUCACCACUUCCCAGGUGGUUGGUGGCUCUGGGUGAACCCAGUGGAGCGGGCCGUUUGCGAGGAGGGCUGUUUGGACGCAAGCUGGGCGCGGGCAGGCUGGGCCGGGUCGCAGGGCAGGGCGCCCCUCGUCUCCUGCCUCCGCCUCUCGGUUCCGCACUGGUCCGAGUGAAGCCAGGGGGGCGGGGGGGAGCCGCGCUGACGUCACUGCGGGCCGUGCCCGCCCGAGAAGGCGGCGCUGAGCCGCUCAGAGCCGGGAGAAGCGGCGCGCCGCCAGGAACCUCCGCGCCACCGCCGCCGCGCCUGCCUCCAGCAGCUCUCGGCCACGCGACCGUGCGGUCAGCGGCGCUUGGAGGGCGGCCGGAGCUGGGCCUGAGCCUGGAGACUCGCCUGAUCCCGGGCGGCCGAACCACCAUCACCACAACGCCCCACCCCCGCCGUCGCCUUGUGGGGCCCCGGCCCCCUCCCGGGUCCGACGCACUCCAGGGUGGGCCAGGAGAAAAGAGAAAAGACAGCUUGGUGAUGACUAAGAAGCCUUCUCUCCUCAGACAUGGUGGGAUGUACUCUGAUCUAGAGCAGGCAGCUGGCCAGAGACCCACAGGGAGCUCAGUGAUUGGCCUCAGAUGACCUUGGGGACAAAGAUUGUCCUGUGAAGGGAAGUGAUGGCACAGGCUCUGAUCAGCUCUUCUGGGAACAGACAGAGAAGUGAGAAUUCCUGCCAAAGCCACAGGAUGAACACAGAGCCAAGAACCUGAACCAGAAAAAUCCAGCAGGAAAGGAACCUGCACUAGCCGCCAUCCUGAGGCUGCUGUACAGGGAGCAAUCCUACCGCAGGGACUUGGCAGGAGACCAAGGACCUGCCCCCAGGUCCUCCUCGAGGGCCUCUGCCACCGACCUGCUUGUCUAGGAUCUCCUUCCUUUCUGCUUGUGCCACAUCUUUCAGGCCUGUUCUGGGUCUGAUGUGCUAUAGAACACUCUGUUCAGGCGCUUGGGAAACAGAGACUUCAUCACCAGCAUUUCCACCCCCAAAGAACUAGGCAGCACACUGGGAAGUUGCCAAAGGAAGGGACUCCAGCCUCCCAGGAGUUAACAACAUUUCUCCCCAGCUAUCCUCCCCUUGGUGCUCCUCUUCCUCCCUCCUCCUGCUCACAGCAGGCAGGGCCUGGAACCAGGAGCCAUGCUGCUGUGCUGUUGCCAGGGGAGCUGGGAGGCAGAUCGGAGCUAUGCAGGGAAAAGGCUCGGCCUGUCAGAGUGUCUGAGAUGAACCACCGCCAUCCCUGUGCAGCUGGGCUCCAUGUGUCUCAGGGCUCUUGUUCUGUGCCUGAGAACAGUGAAGCCCAGCGAGGUUCAAGGGCACACUCGCUAUUCAUCAGUCGGGGGUUCUUGACGGUCCUGCCUCUCCCAGGGAUGGGUUCCCCCCUUCCUCUUUCUCUCCCUCCUAUGAUACAUUCCUGGGUGCCUGUGGUGAGGACUGCACACCCCCUUCUCCACAGCCCCCCCAAACCCUGAAUCAACUCCUAUUAAGGAGGCCAGGCGGGACAGGGACAAUGGCUUCAAGAAAUCAUUCAGGCGGGACCUCAGUCACAUUCGCAUGCCCGUCACUCCCAGAGCCCCUGUAGAUCCCACUCUGCUGUGAUUCAGGGACCCUUGGGCCCCCAGCUUGCACAUGCCUAGACAGGAGCAGGCCACUAGGUGCUGCCCUACACAACAGGCCAGUGCAGUGUUUGUUCUCAGGGACCCUGGGGUCUCCAUCCCACUGGCUGGAUAGUGUGUGCAGUCAGUUGGAGAGCAGAAACUACAAUAUUUUCUGAAAUGUGGUAAUAUCAAGAUAUAAGAGGCACAUAUACGUGAUGACUAAUUUCACUUCAGAUAUACUGGAAAAGUUUGCUAAGAACAUGGACAAAGACCUGUGGUUGAGUAACGAGUCAUUUCAUUCCAUGGAAUAUUACACACCUGUAAGACUGUGGUAGAUCUACCUCUGCAUGCAGGCUGAUAGGGAAGGUUGUUAAUAUACUUAAGUGAAUAGAAUAAAGUACAAAACAGUCAAGUGUGUUCUUGUUUG
rnacentral:lncRNA from 1 species